GUCUUUCCUUAAACUUCCGGUCAAGGUGACUCCACCACCUCCCUGGGCAGGCCGUUGCCGUGUCUAAUCACCCUUUCUGUGAAGAAACUACUCCUGAUGUACAACUUGAGUCUCCCCUACCUCAGCUCGAGGCUCUGCCCUCUUCUCCUGGCACCUGAUGUUGUGAAAAGAGGCCGACCCCCACCUGGCUGCACCCUCCCUUCAGGCAGCUGUAGACUGCAAAGAGGUCUCCCCUGAGACUGCUCCAGGCUAAAACACCCGCAGCUCUCUCAGCCUGGAGUGGUGCAGGACUUGUGCUCCAGACUCUGCUGCCUCAGGCCUGCACAGGUGUUUUCCAGUACCCCUGGAAUAAACUUCUUCAUAACUUUACCAGGCACUGGAGUGAGACUGACAGGCCUGUCAUUUCCUGGGUCCUCCUUGCCCUUCCUGAAAGUCAGUUUGUGAUUUCAAGCUAUAGCCUAGAUGUUAAAGCUGUUUUUGAGGUUGUUAUGCUACCAACAUACUGGAGCUCCGAAAAAUUGGGUUGUUGCUGGUCCUGCUGAAGUGUGACAUGUGUCUGACCAGCACAUACCAACCUGCACUGCAGUGCCAGCCAUCUCCAAGGAAAGCUUUCACAAGGAAGCUACAAUCCUUCAGCUGCCACCCAUCACAAUUCCAGAUUUCUAAACAGAGAAUUUUUCACCAUUCUUCAGCAUUCCUUAAUCAGAUGAAACUGAUUAUUUGAAGGAAAAAGGGUCAAGGGGGUGUUUUCUACUAUUUUUCAUUCCAAGAUUUCUGCCAAGGCUGAAAUACUACAGAAAUACUCUUCAAUCUUCUAGUUGUAGCUGAGCAAUUAGAUGUAUUGAGCCAGAAGAGGAAGUCCAUGAGAAGCACAGAGAAUGGAGCAACAAACAUUUGUGGAUGCCCCGGGAUACAGCAGUAAGACCCAUGUGUUGGUGUUAAUGAGAGCCUUCUUUUUAUUGACAAUGGCUGGAAAUACUGGCAGUGGAAAUGUGCUGCCCAGAAUAUAUCCCUCAAGCUACAGUAGGAUCCUGUAGGCACGGUUGAUUCUGUGUUGACUUCUGCAAUGGUUAGUCACAAGCCAGACUCUCUUUAGUAAAAUUCCUCUUCUUAAAGUUUGAUUUACUAACCUUUUACAAAUACAAUA